rnacentral:rRNA from 1 species
UACGGAGGAUGCAAGCGUUAUCCGGAAUGAUUGGGCGUAAAGCGUCCGCAGGUGGCUGUGUAAGUCUGCUGUUAAAGAGUCUAGCUCAACUAGAUAAAAGCAGUGGAAACUACACGGCUAGAGUACGUUCGGGACAGAGGGAAUUCCUGGUGUAGCGGUGAAAUGCGUAGAGAUCAGGAAGAACACCGGUGGCGAAGGCGCUCUGCUAGGCCGUAACUGACACUGAGGGACGAAAGCUAGGGGAGCGAAUGGG